UAAUAUUGAUGGCCUGUCAACUUUGUCCUGAUUCUUUGGCUUUCAGUUAAAAGGUUUUUGUUGUUGUAGCUUAUGCAGUUGCUCUGUUGCUAUGGAAACGUGACAUCAAAAUGACGUUUCUCUGUUUAAAAGCUUUUAACUAAAUUCCUGCCUGUCAGAUGUAGGCCCCAUUUUGUGCACUCAAGCUUCAAGCUGUUGCAAAAAGGUCAGUCAGCAAUGGCUGCAGCAGAAAUUCCCAGUUACAUUGUCUCUUCUCAGACUGAGAAACACAGGAGGGCCAGAAACUGGACUGAUGCAGAAAUGAGAGGUUUAAUGCUGGUCUGGGAAGAAUUUUUUGAUGAACUGAAACAAACUAAAAGGAAUGCCAAAGUUUAUGAGAAAAUGGCUAACAAACUCUUUGAAAUGACGGGAGAAAUUCGCCACGGAGAGGAAAUAAAGAUAAAAAUUACAAAUAUGACAUUCCAGUACAGGUAAGCUUCAGUUAAUUCUUUUUAUUUUAAGAGAUGUUAGCAGGGGCCAGGCUGAGCUGUUUGCCUUUCAGAAAGAAGUAUCCUUCAGCAAAUGUGUA